rnacentral:rRNA from 1 species
ACGCUCGACACCUACGGUAGGCAGCAGUGAGGAAUAUUGGUCAAUGGGCGCUAGCCUGAACCAGCCAAGUAGCGUGAAGGAUGAAGGCUCUAUGGGUCGUAAACUUCUUUUAUAUAAGAAUAAAGUGCAGUAUGUAUACUGUUUUGUAUGUAUUAUAUGAAUAAGGAUCGGCUAACUCCGUGCUAGCAGCCGCGGUAAUCUGAGCGGGCUGGCAAGGC